UACAGAGGGUGCGAGCGUUAAUCGGAAUUACUGGGCGUAAAGCGUGCGUAGACGGCUAUCUAAGUCGGGUGUGAAAGCCCCGGGCUCAACCUGGGAAUUGCAUUCGAGACUGAAUAGCUAGGGUACGGUAGAGGGAAGCGGAAUUUCCGGUGUAGCGGUGAAAUGCGCAGAUAUUAGGAAGAACACCGGUGGCGAAGGCGGCUCUCUGGAACGGUACUGACGCUGAGGCGCGAAAGCGUGGGGAGCAAACAGG
rnacentral:rRNA from 1 species